GCUCAGAACGACGCUGGCGGCGUGCCUCCGACAUGCAAGUCGAACGCGAAAGUCCUCUUCGGGGGGCAAGUAGAGUGGCGCACGGGUGAGUAACACGUAGGUAAUCUACCUUUGGAUUGGGAAUAACAACCGGAAACGGUUGCUAAUACCGAAUAAUGCAGCGGCACCUAAUGGUGACAGUUGUUAAAGCGGGGGAUCGCAAGACCUCGCGUCUGAAGAGGAGCCUGCGGCAGAUUAGCUAGUUGGUAGGGUAACGGCUUACCAAGGCGACGAUCUGUAGCCGGCCUGAGAGGGCGGUCGGCCGCACUGACACUGACAUACGGGUCAGACUCCUACGGGAGGCAGCAGUGGG
rnacentral:rRNA from 1 species